UCGCCUAUGGGUUAGGUCUGUCUCUCUCUAUUUGGAGACAGUUCUUUGUCACCUACCCCAAUAAAUACCUCACUGCACCCUCCCUUGCUUCUUUCCCCUUCUCCCUCAUACUCUAUCAGGGUCAUUGUCUCUUAUUCUGUGCCCUUUGUCCCUCUGAGGCAAAUAAAUCUCCUUUAUGCUGAGAACUUGGUCUUGAGUUGUCUUGAGCCUAUACAGGUCCCUACAGAUUUCACAGUAUCCUGAAAGAUAGGCUAGGAAAGACUCCUGAAUGCAGAUGGUGUUGGAGACAGGCCCUGCAGUUCGAAUAGGAGUUGUCCUAGUCACAAAGAAACCUAUACAGAGAGAACCAUCAGCUGAAGCAAAGCCACAUAUAAAGGUCCACAGUGGAUUGGAAGCAACAGCAUAUGCGCAGUGUCUAGAGAUAUGAUGGCUUCUGAGCACUUAGGCUAGGGACAACUGAGCACUCCUGUGACGUGAACCUGGCUCCCAAAGGCAGAGGAAACCUCUUUAGAGGGAAACCUCGUUUGGUUUGGUUUGGUUUGGUUUGGUUUGGUUUGGUUUGGUUUGGUUUGGUUUGGUUUGGUUUGGUUCUCAAGUUGGGGUUUCUCCGUGUAGCCCUGGCCAUCCUGGAACUCACUUUAUAGACCAGGUCUUGUCUUAAAUUCAGAGAUCCACCUGCCUCCUAAGUGCUAAGACUAAAGGCAUGAACCGCCACUACCCAGCAUGAGGAAAUGUUUUUUAUUUUAUUUUUGAGAACUUGAUGAGCACGCCCAAAUCACUUCCUCUCCUCCCUUCCCCCUCUGGCUCCUUCCAUACCUCAAAAUCCAUGAACUCUUGUACUUUAGUUAUUGUUGGUACCUGGAACUGAGGGCCCUAUAUGGGGCUGUGUUCAGAAAGAUGUGGAGAAUUGGGGUAGAGGGGAGCCAACUUACGGUGAGAACAGUCAUUGUAUGAUCCUGGCCAGCAACGGAAUGCAGUAGUUCCACAGAGAGAGGGCUUUGCCCUGAAUCCCAGCCCCAACUGCACAAACUCCUUUGUGCAGGAAUCUCAAAGUCUCUCAAAGAGCACUCUGCUCCAGCUAAGGGGGGGGGGGUGCAUCAAGGUGAAGUCUCUGGUCAAUACAUUUAGAGACUGCUGGGUUAAACCUUUUUCUUGAAGCAUAGCUUUUCAAAGCCUUUAAUACACACUACGUCUGGUAUGUGUAAUAUAAAGAGUUAUCCAAACUUAUUUUACUAAGGAAAUUUAUCUGAGAGCAUUUCAAGGGCAUAGAGUUUAAUGGAAUGUGUAAAAUAAAUUUUUAAAGACCUGGAGUUUCAUGAUUCUGCCAGUUCUAGUUUCUGGG
rnacentral:lncRNA from 1 species